CUGAACCUUCGGGGAACGAUAACGGCGUCGAGCGGCGGACGGGUGAGUAAUGCCUGGGAAAUUGCCCUGAUGUGGGGGAUAACCAUUGGAAACGAUGGCUAAUACCGCAUAAUAGCUUCGGCUCAAAGAGGGGGACCUUCGGGCCUCUCGCGUCAGGAUAUGCCCAGGUGGGAUUAGCUAGUUGGUGAGGUAAGGGCUCACCAAGGCGACGAUCCCUAGCUGGUCUGAGAGGAUGAUCAGCCACACUGGAACUGAGACACGGUCCAGACUCCUACGGGAGGCAGCAGUGGGGAAUAUUGCACAAUGGGCGCAAGCCUGAUGCAGCCAUGCCGCGUGUAUGAAGAAGGCCUUCGGGUUGUAAAGUACUUUCAGCAGUGAGGAAGGUGGUGUGCUUAAUACGCGCAUCAUUUGACGUUAGCUGCAGAAGAAGCACCGGCUAACUCCGUGCCAGCAGCCGCGGUAAUACGGAGGGUGCGAGCGUUAAUCGGAAUUACUGGGCGUAAAGCGCAUGCAGGUGGUUUGUUAAGUCAGAUGUGAAAGCCCGGGGCUCAACCUCGGAAUUGCAUUUGAAACUGACAGACUAGAGUACUGUAGAGGGGGGUAGAAUUUCAGGUGUAGCGGUGAAAUGCGUAGAGAUCUGAAGGAAUACCGGUGGCGAAGGCGGCCCCCUGGACAGAUACUGACACUCAGAUGCGAAAGCGUGGGGAGCAAACAGGAUUAGAUACCCUGGUAGUCCACGCCGUAAACGAUGUCUACUUGGAGGUUGUGGCCUUGAGCCGUGGCUUUCGGAGCUAACGCGUUAAGUAGACCGCCUGGGGAGUACGGUCGCAAGAUUAAAACUCAAAUGAAUUGACGGGGGCCCGCACAAGCGGUGGAGCAUGUGGUUUAAUUCGAUGCAACGCGAAGAACCUUACCUACUCUUGACAUCCAUAGAACUUUCCAGAGAUGGAUUGGUGCCUUCGGGAACUAUGAGACAGGUGCUGCAUGGCUGUCGUCAGCUCGUGUUGUGAAAUGUUGGGUUAAGUCCCGCAACGAGCGCAACCCUUAUCCUUGUUUGCCAGCACUUCGGGUGGGA
rnacentral:rRNA from 1 species